rnacentral:lncRNA from 1 species
UCGUUCGUUUGAGUGGGUCGGCACCUUCAUAAGUUUUGAGCAAAAUUUCCCAAGCCUCUUUUGCUAUUUUGGCAUGGAAAAUUUUCUAAAAAACAGAUAGAUCCAUAGAUUGACAGAUAAGAAAUAAAGCUUUUUCAUUUAGCAUACGAUCUUUUUCAGCUUGUUGUUCAUCGGCUUUUCCUUUAUCUCCUUCAGUUGGUUCAG